rnacentral:rRNA from 1 species
AUUGAACGCUGGCGGCAUGCUUUACACAUGCAAGUCGAACGGUAACAGGCCGCAAGGCGCUGACGAGUGGCGAACGGGUGAGUAAUGCAUCGGAACGUGCCCAGUCGUGGGGGAUAACGCAGCGAAAGCUGCGCUAAUACCGCAUACGAUCUAUGGAUGAAAGCGGGGGACCGUAAGGCCUCGCGCGAUUGGAGCGGCCGAUGUCAGAUUAGGUAGUUGGUGGGGUAAAGGCUCACCAAGCCGACGAUCUGUAGCUGGUCUGAGAGGACGACCAGCCACACUGGGACUGAGACACGGCCCAGACUCCUACGGGAGGCAGCAGUGGGGAAUUUUGGACAAUGGGCGCAAGCCUGAUCCAGCAAUGCCGCGUGCAGGAAGAAGGCCUUCGGGUUGUAAACUGCUUUUGUACGGAACGAAAAGACUCUGGUUAAUACCUGGGGUCCAUGACGGUACCGUAAGAAUAAGCACCGGCUAACUACGUGCCAGCAGCCGCCGUAAUAC